GUGUCCCUGCAACUGCACGCUCGUUCCUUCCGCCAUGCAAUGUACCAAGGCAUGCUCCACAAACUAGCACAACUAACAUUCAAAACUCGGAGCCAAGCCAUGUAAACUUGGCAGCUAAUGCAAAUGAUGUAGAUUCACUUGAUCAAGAAGCUGAUGACCCCAGUGUUGAUUCUAGUGCUCAGAGUCGCAAAAGACGCAAGACUACAGAGUUUUGGGCAGUUAAGAUAAUCGAUUCUGACGGCACAAUCAAGCGGGCAAGACUAAGUGUGAGGGAGGCUAUGGAAUGGCCUAACAGUAGGAAGAUCAUGCUCAGGUUCAACAGAGCAAAGCAAGCAAUUGUUGAGUGGCGUGCUUGGUCUGUUGGGAACUGACUAUGGAAAAUUCCCUAUCUGUGAGAGAAGUUGGCGUAAGAUUACCACUAAAGACAAUGUUUAUAACUAAUGCAUCAAGCAAAUUUUCCACUUUGAUGAAGAUAUUAAAGAAACUGUCAAGAAAAAUAUUCUGAAAAGUAUGGGAAAGUCUUGGAAGGAAGGAAGGCUGAGGUUGUACAAUGCUUUUUACGAGCUAACAUUUACGACUGAAGAAAACAUUGAGCAACGUCUGCCUGGAAUCAAUCGAGAGCAUUGGAGAUGGUUCCUUAACUAUCCCGUCGAAGAGGAGAGAAAGGAGAAGUGAAGGAAAAACGCGGCUAAUCGAUCAAAGCAACUAUAUAGCCACACUGGUGGUUCGAAAAGCUUUGCACGGCGGAUGGAAGAAGAGAAACAGGAUGAGCAACAGGAUGAGUCUUCUAGAUUGUUGUCUCAAAAUGAUUCCAUUGCUCAGGUUUUCGGAAAAGAGAAACCUGGUAGAGUACGUGGUAUGGGUGCUGGACCGACUCCUAGUCAACUCUUUGGUCCGAAUUCACGUGCGCUGGUCAACGGAGUCCAAAUAGAGGAGACCAAGAGGAAGCUGCUAGAACUACAAGCAGAGUUGGAACGC